AAAGUCGUAACAAGGUUUCCGUAGGUGAACCUGCGGAAGGAUCAUUACAAACUGAUUGGGGGAGAGUGCGGUAUUGAGAUUUUGAAUUUGAAUAGAGUUCAGGAUUUUGAAAGCACUUUCUAUAUGACCACUCCUGAAAGGGAGCUGGACGCAUGCCCGCAAGCCCGCCUGUGCAUGGCAUGUAAAUUGACUUUAAAUCUUGACAUUUUCAUCUUUUUAAUAAUUAAAACUUUUAACAAUGGAUCUCUUGGCUCUU
rnacentral:misc_RNA from 1 species